rnacentral:rRNA from 1 species
GACGAACGCUGGCGGCGUGCUUAACACAUGCAAGUCGAACGGAAAGGCCCUGCUUUUGUGGGGUGCUCGAGUGGCGAACGGGUGAGUAACACGUGAGUAACCUGCCCUUGACUUUGGGAUAACUUCAGGAAACUGGGGCUAAUACCGGAUAGGAGCUCCUGCUGCAUGGUGGGGGUUGGAAAGUUUCGGCGGUUGGAGAUGGACUCGCGCCUUAUCAUCUUGUUGGUGGGGUAGUGGCUUACCAAGGCUUUGACGGGUAGCCGGCCUGAGAGGGUGACCGGCCACAUUGGGACUGAUAUACCGCCCAGACUCCUACGGGAGGCAGCAGUGGGGAAUAUUGCACAAUGGGCGGAACCCUGAUGCAGCAACGCCUCGUGCGGGAUGACUGCCUUCGGUGUGUAAACCGCUUUCCCCUGCGACCAAUCGUGAGUGACGGUAAUGGGUAAAGAAGCCCCGGGCUAACUACGUGCCCCCCACCCCCGGGAAAUGUAAGGGGGGGAGGGUUUUCGGCGUUUUUUGGGCGUAAAGGGCUCUAAGGGGGUUGAUUCGCUCCGGAAAGGUAAUCUUGGGGCUUAUCUCUGAGCGUGCUUUCGAUACGGGUUGGCUUGAGGAAGGUAGGGGAGAAUGGAAUUCCUGGUGGAGCGGUGGAAUGCGCAAAUAUCAGGAGGAACACCAGUGGCGAAGGGGGUUCUCUGGGCCUUUCCUGACCCUGAAGAGCGAAAGCGUGGGGAGCGAACAGGCUUAAAUACCCUGGUAGUCCACGCUGUAAACGGUGGGUACUAGGUGUGGGGUCCAUUCCACGGGUUCCGUGCCGUAGCUAACGCUUUAAGUACCCCGCCUGGGGAGUACGGCCGCAAGGCUAAAACUCAAAGGAAUUGACGGGGCCCCGCACAAGCGGCGGAGCAUGCGGAUUAAUUCGAUGCAACGCGUAGAACCUUACCUGGGUUUGACAUGGAUCGGGAGCGCUCAGAGAUGGGUGUGCCUCUUUUGGGGUCGGUUCACAGGUGGUGCAUGGCUGUCGUCAGCUCGUGUCGUGAGAUGUUGGGUUAAGUCCCGCAACGAGCGCAACCCUUGUUCACUGUUGCCAGCACGUUAUGGUGGGGACUCAGUGGAGACCGCCGGGGUCAACUCGGAGGAAGGUGGGGAUGACGUCAAGUCAUCAUGCCCCUUAUGUCCAGGGCUUCACGCAUGCUACAAUGGCUGGUACAGAGAGUGGCGAGCCUGUGAGGGUGAGCGAAUCUCGGAAAGCCGGUCUCAGUUCGGAUUGGGGUCUGCAACUCGACCUCAUGAAGUCGGAGUCGCUAGUAAUCGCAGAUCAGCAACGCUGCGGUGAAUACGUUCCCGGGGCU